GUCAAAAACGUUUAUGUCACAACAUCCAGUGGCAGUGGCUAGCUGGGUUAGAACCAUUUUCUGAAGCUUCAUGGUAGGUGCGGCGUAUAUUUUCCUGUUUUUUUGUCCUUUGCCAAUCACACCUAUGAUAUUUCUUUCAGGACCAGUACAAAUGUAGAAGGGGCCAGCAAAACUCUGAUCUACUGGCCCCGGCGGCCAGUGGGGAUUUUUUUUUUAUGUUGAGCCCUGCUCUGAGGAUAUGAUUACUCAAAACAUGCU